AUUUGUUGGAUUAAUCAUAAGCUUUCACAUAAUAAACAUCAUUUGAAAGAUUUAAAUACAGUUGAUUUUGGGAAAAAUGUCACAAAAAUCUUCAACUUAUUGAAAACGUUGAUUUAAAUCUUCGAUGAAACAAAAUAAAUAUGAAACUUAUAUCGAUUUUCCAAAUAAAUACUAAACUUUCGUUGAUUAUCUAAAUAAAUACUAUAACCUCGCAAUAUUAGGCAUAUAGUUAAGUGGGAUAACAUAUCCUAUUAUUAAAAAG
rnacentral:sRNA from 1 species